rnacentral:rRNA from 1 species
GUCUGUGACUAUGUUAACCUGAAUUGCCUUGCUCCCUGAUCUCUGAAGCUGAGGGUCAGGCCCUGGGCAGUACUUGCAUGGUAAAGACGACGUGUUAACCAUUUACU